GACGAACGCUGGCGGCGUGCUUAACACAUGCAAGUCGAACGGAAAGGCCCUGCUUUUGUGGGGUGCUCGAGUGGCGAACGGGUGAGUAACACGUGAGUAACCUGCCCUUGACUUUGGGAUAACUUCAGGAAACUGGGGCUAAUACCGGAUAGGAGCUCCUGCUGCAUGGGGGGGGUUGGAAAGUUUCGGCGGUUGGGGAUGGACUCGCGGCUUAUCAGCUUGUUGGUGGGGUAGGGGCUUACCAAGGCUUUGACGGGUAGCCGGCCUGAGAGGGUGACCGGCCCCAUUGGGACUGAGAUACGGCCCAGACUCCUACGGGAGGCAGCAGUGGGGAAUAUUGCACAAUGGGCGGAAGCCUGAUGCAGCAACGCCGCGUGCGGGAUGACGGCCUUCGGGUUGUAAACCGCUUUCGCCUGUGACGAAGCGUGAGUGACGGUAAUGGGUAAAGAAGCACCGGCUAACUACGUG
rnacentral:rRNA from 1 species